CACGUAGGGUGCGAGCGUUGUCCGGAAUUAUUGGGCGUAAAGAGCUCGUAGGCGGUGUGUCGCGUCGGCCGUGAAAACCUGCAGCUUAACUGUGGGCUUGCGGUCGAUACGGGCAUCACUGGAGUUCGGCAGGGGAGACUGGAAUUCCAGGUGUAGCGGUGAAAUGGCGUAGAUAUCUGGAGGAACACCAGUGGCGAAGGCGGCUCACUGGCCCGAUACUGACGCUGAGGUGGCGAAAGCGUGGGGAGCAACAGG
rnacentral:rRNA from 1 species